rnacentral:rRNA from 1 species
AUUGAACGCUGGCGGCAGGCCUAACACAUGCAAGUCGAACGGUAGCAGGAAGCAGCUUGCUGCUUCGCUGACGAGUGGCGGACGGGUGAGUAAUGUCUGGGAAGCUGCCUGAUGGAGGGGGAUAACUACUGGAAACGGUAGCUAAUACCGCAUAAUGUCGCAAGACCAAAGAGGGGGACCUUCGGGCCUCUUGCCAUCGGAUGUGCCCAGAUGGGAUUAGCUUGUUGGUGGGGUAACGGCUCACCAAGGCGACGAUCCCUAGCUGGUCUGAGAGGAUGACCAGCCACACUGGAACUGAGACACGGUCCAGACUCCUACGGGAGGCAGCAGUGGGGAAUAUUGCACAAUGGGCGCAAGCCUGAUGCAGCCAUGCCGCGUGUAUGAAGAAGGCCUACGGGU